ensembl:snoRNA Snora33 small nucleolar RNA SNORA33
AAGCCAGCCAAUUACUCUGCUUAUCUCAAUGUUUCUGCAGAAAUAUAGAAAGGGCUGGCAAUAAUAAUGCCAUGGUACGAGCCUUAGGGGCAGCUGAAGCCUUUAAGGUCCCUGAAAGUGGCUACAGUA